rnacentral:lncRNA from 1 species
CGAGAGUAUAGAAAUUUCAAAUAAGUGAAUAUCAAUUACACAUGGAAUAUCUACUCUUCUUUUGUGAUUGAGCAGGUUACGAAGGAUAUACAACAAUUUCAGUUAUGACUAAAUAAUUACCUGAGAGUAAUAAUGAUUUCCAACAAAACAAGAAGUUAUGAAAGAUAACGUGACAAUGGAAGAGGUAAAGAUCUUCCGUUAAGUAAGCUAAGAAUCAAUUAGGCAAUAAGAAUGAACCACAAGGCAAUUAAUUCCAAAUAAAACAUGUAGAAGUGGAACUAGCAAAAGAAAAAUUCAAUCAUAUCAAGAACAACUUAUACUCAGUGCACAUAAGGACCUAAGAACCUAGAAAGGCCAAUUUCCCACAAAUAAAUCCGAGCAUGCACUCAUCACCUCACAUACACGGAUACAAUCAGCAGAGAAGAGUCAAAUCCUAAGGGGAAGUCCCACACACAAGGUUAGGCAAGACACUUACCUCGUACCAACUCAAAUCAACUAGAAACCACAUUCUUGUCAUGAGUAUUUGUAUCCAAAUGGCCCAAAUCUAUUCAAUUCAACUACAUAUUGUAAAUAACAUCUCAAGCAACUAAUUCUACUAUUUAAUUCAAAGCUAAGGCGCAAAAUUAGAUAAAAUGACCAAAUCGCACUUCAAGACGUCUCAGAAUCAGAUGAAAUUAACAUUUUCAGAACCCUAGCACUCUCACAAGUCCAACAAUAUAAAAAUCGCUCAAAUGGGAGGUCAAAAACCCACUCAAAAUUAAAUAAUUUGAAUUAUGAAGUUUUCGCCAAAUUUUCCUUCAAAAUCCAAAAAUUAAAGGAGGAAUUCAUGUUUAGAUUAGUGAGUUACAUGCAAAAAGGAGUUUAGAAUCAUUAUCUAAUCGUUGUCCCUGAAAAAACUCUCGAAAUCUCCCUAAAAUCCGAGCUCCCGAGCUUGAGUUUUGGUAAAAAUGACUAUACCCUCGUUUUGAAAUGUUUGUAUCUGUCCAAACAUUUAAUGCAUCGCGAAUACAAAGGGAGUCACGCGUUCGCGAAGAAGGAAAAUUGAAGGCUACCAAAUUGCUCUUCGCAAACGCAAGGAACAAUACGCAAACGUGAAGGCAUGGGCUGGCAAAGCUACGCAAACAUGACCUAGGUAGUGCGAACGCGAUGAAAAAAAGAAUAAGCACAACCCUCAUGGCCAAAUAGAACUACGCGAACGUGAGGGCUGGCUGCGAACGCGAAGGAGAAAAAUGAUGAAGCUUCGCGAACGUGGGAGGGUUAAACGCGAACGUCAAGAAGAAACUAAUCCUCCUCCAAAAUUAUGCGAACGAGUGGAGGAGGACACGAUCGCGAAGAAGAAAAGGGGGUCUGCAACAGUUGAAGAUUUUCUGCAAUUUUAAGCAACUCCAAAAUGCCUCGUUGAGCAUCCGAAACAUACCCGAGGCCCCUGGGGCCUUAACCAAAACUACAGACAUAUCCCAUAACAUUAUUCAAACUUGUGCCAAUCCUUAAACCACCUAAAACAAUGUCGGAAACUCGAAUUAAUCAAUUAUUUAAGCCUAAGAACUUCAAAUUCUCUCAAACCACGCUUUCGAUAAAAAGCCUAACUCAACUACAUGCGCAUGACCUGAAAUUUUUCACACUCGUCCAAAUGACAUGACGGAGCUACUGCAAUUUCAAAAUUCCAUUCCGACCCUCGGAUCAAAAUCUCACUGCCGGACCGGAAACUUCAAAAAUUCAAAUUUCGGCAUAUCAAGCCUAAAUUAGCUACGUACCUCCAAGACAUACAAAUCCAACCCCAAAAUUACCUAACGGAGCUAAUGGCACCACCAGAUUUCCAUGUUGAGGCCAUCUUCACACUGUUCCGACCACGGGCAACUUCCAACACUUAAGCUCCUGUUUAGGGACUAAGUGUCCAAAAACUCUCUGAAACUCAGAACCGAACAUCCCGGCAAAUCAACUUAGAGAAAUAGUGAUGGGGAAAGCAGUUACUAAGGGAUCCAGGCGUAAACUCUUAAGAUGACCGGCCGGGUUGUCACAUCCUCCUACACAUUUAUUCGUCCUCGAACGAGCUAAGAUUUGCCUCGAAGUCCUCAAGUCUCUGAGUGCACACUUCCAACAUACACCCACGGGUGAUCACACGUCACCCCAAUCCACUUAAGUAUGACGACACCAUCUCUACUGAAACUUAACUUUCUAGCAAUACCAAUGAGCCUUUCAGCCAGAAUUCUCGCUUUCCAUCCGUUUCUAAAAGACCCGAUUCUAAAUCCAUGUCUGGUAUUAGUCUCAACGAGCUGCUUCAAUUCAUGCCCCUACACACAAGAUACAACCACACAACCUGACACAUCACACAUAGCCAACAAUAACAUUUCUGAUAGCAAUAUUUGCCUGAGAUCAAAUCCAUAUUGGUCAUAAGCCUCACAUUCAAUAUGAACUCUUUUCAAACCUCCAGGAGAUGAUACAGUAAUCACGAAAACCACAAAACAAAACACCCGAAUAACCAAAUCUCAGCUAAUAUAAAUAGGCACGCACCCCCACAUACUAGAACUCAAGAAGUAUGCAAUGAAAAUAGAUGAAUAUGGGAAGGGAAAACACAUAAGGGAACUACAAAUAACUCAGACUAGCACAAAUUUUCUAAAUCACUAAUAUACAGAACAUUCUAACAAGAAAGAAUAAAAACAUAUAAAAGACUCACAAGGAUCUUAUACUGAUAUAACCCUCACCGUGGUACAUAGCUCGGUCUCAACACAUUAAAUCACCUGAACUCACGAGGAUCCCACCCUCACUCUGAAUCACAAGUACGGUACACAUCAACCCAUCUAGAGACUCUCACUAGAUCAAUUCCGUCUACAAUUUACAAUACAGACUGGCUCCUACAUUGGUGGAGCAUUGAAUCACAGCUCGUAACCAAGAAUACUCAAAAAUCACAUCAAACCUACCGAAACAGACAAAGAAUUCACUACUAACCUCAUAACGCUCGACAAUAGCUAGAAACAGAUGAUAGACACAACUAUCACUUAUAGAAUCUCCCAACAGGAUAAUCAUAUAAUCAAAGUGCAAAUCAUGAAACGCACCCAUAAAUGGAACAACAAAUAAGGAAGCUCCAUCCAAUAAGCAGGACUGUAAUGAACUACAUAUAGUGCCCCUCAAUAAUAAACCGAAUUCGUACCUGAUACGCGAACGCAAACACGACCCAAGUAGUGCGAACACGAUGAAGAAAAGAAUAAGCACAGCCCUCAAAGCCAAACAGAACUACGCGAACACAUGGUCUAGUGCGAAAGCAAACGAGGAAAAUGAUGAAGCUUCGCAAACGCGGGAGGGUUGAACGCGAAUGCGAAGAAGAAACUGGACCUCCUCCAAAAUUACUCUAUGUGAACAUGUGAAUGAGGACGCGAUCACCAAGAAGAAAAGGGGUCUGCAACAGCUGAAGAACUUCUACAAUUUUAAGCAACUCCAAAAUGCCCCCUUGAGCAUCCGAAACACACCUGAGGCCCCCGGGACCUCAACCAAACCUACAGAUAUAUCCCAUAACAUCAUUCAAACUUGUACCAAUCCUUAAACCACCUAAAUCAACGUCGAAAACUCGAAUUAAUCAAUGAAUUAAGCCUAAGAACUUCAAAUUCUCUCAAAAUACGCUUUCGAUCAAAAAUCUAAUAGAACCACAUCUGAGUGACAUGAAAUUUUACACACACGUCCCAAAUGACAUGAUGGAGCCGUUGCAACUUCCGAAAUUCCAUUCUAACCCUCAGAUCAAAAUCUCACUGUCGGACUGGAAACUUCAAAAAUUCAAAUUUCGGCAUUUCAAUCCUAAAUUAGCUAUGGACCUCUAAAAUAUAUUCCGAACACACAUCCAACCUCGAAAUCACCUAACGAGCUAAUGGAACCAUCAGAUUUCCAUUCCGAGGUCGUCUUUACAUUGUUCCAACUACGGAAAACUUCCAACACUCAAGCUCUCAUUUAGGGACUAAGUGUCCUAAAACUCUCCAAAACUCAAAACCGAACAUCCCGGAAAAUCAAUUUAGCAGAAAUAGACUUGGGGACAACAAUGAAUCGGGGAUCAGGGCGUAUACUCUUAAGACGACCGGCUGGAUCGUCACAAUUAGUUUCAUCCAAUUGUUCAAAUUACACACUAUUAGGCAAUAAAUCUAAUUGUUAGUAUAAUUUAAAAGAUUUUCCUGACAAGCAAGAUUACUAAGUCCUAAUAUUCCCUCUCUAUGAGUAACAAUAAUGACUUAGAUACAAAGUUCCUGCACAUGAAAUAAUCGAUGAAGAGCUUGUAAGAUGAAAGUAGUUCUUCAAUAUUAUUGAUGAGAAGCGUAUAAAAUAACCUUCUUUCCUUUCCUGAGCAUUGGUGUUAAGUGUGUUGAAGCUAGGAUUACAGAUAAUCCUGUAGUUGCUAGGCACAUUAAAACUAGAUAGGACAAGAUAGUAACCGACGGAAGAAGGAAAAGGCUGGGCAGGUGUUUGCCAAUGUAGGCAGAACUUGUGAAUUCCAUUAGAAGUAGGUGCACAAUCUGCUGCACAUUGUAAUACGAAUGCUAAUGAUGUUUUGAUGGUUGAGGAUCAGUUAAUAAGUGCCAACAUUGAGAAGGAUUCAAAAAAUAAGAAAGGGCAACUUGUGGUAAUUGAGGAUGAGUGCAAAGUAUCCACGAACUCUAUUGCACCUGCUACUGUUAAUCUUACGACAAUUGGAGCUAAGAUUCUGGAAAGCAUAAAUCUUUUGCAAGUUCUUCCUGGGUUUUUGCCUAAUCCAAUGGAAGGACGGUCCUUUCAAGAGGUGAAGGAAAACAAUGACAUGGUAGGGGUUGGUCUGAAUACAUCCCAACAUGAUAUCCCCUCCACUGAUUUGUUUGAUCGAUCUGGAAACAUGUUACAAGUCUCAAACAACCAACAAAUUUUAUCCAUGGUGUUGUCGGCAACAGAACAACCAAAAGGAGGGGCUGACCACACAAGAGAAUAACAUGAAGACACGAUGAGUGAAGACAUAAGUGGUGAACUUGUCCAUAAUUUAAACGAGCUACAGAAGCCAGUUAGCUCUAAGCACAAGACAUGGGCUGAUCAUGUAGAAGAGUAUGACGAAGGUGAAGAAAAUUAUGUCAGUGACUCCAAGAGAUAAACACUUAAGAAACUGGUUCGUCAACACGACAAGGUGGUAUAGCAAAGGAAGGAGCAGUAGUUGUGGUUGAGCAGGUUGUGAGUCCAUCUCCUAGUGUGCAAAGAAAGACUAAGCUAAGUCCUAAUGCUGCUGUUUUUGUUCCUACUGGACAACAACUAUCAGGUAUGAUUUCUAAGCUUAAUUUGAUCCAAAAAUCCACUGGACAAGUAACUAUUACAAGUGGAAUGGCUGCACAAUAUAACUUGACGCCUAAAAACAUUCUCCAAGCUAUUGUAACUCAUGAUCCUCUACAUGAGGCUGCUAUCUAACCUCCUACCAACUCCAUUUAAGUUCAUAUAAUGAACCUGCUGUGAAAUUUCUACUACCAUAGUGAGAGGUAAGACUACUAAAGAAUCAUCAUAGCUAUGUAUCUUUGCGGGAAAACUUAAUAUUGGACAAGAUUGUACAUUAAUUUCUUCCUGAUAUUUGAUGAAAAAAUAUUACCAAUCUAACUAUGAGCGGAGAUGGAAAAACAAACUCAAGGUUAUAAGUCAACAAAUUAUCAAAUGUCCUGAAGUUAUUGUCUUGAAACAACAUGAGGUAGAAGGCCGUGUGAUAGCAUCUCUCUCCACCACAGUGAAGACAAGUUCUUUGUUGUAGUGUGAAUACCAGAACAAGCUAUAUCCACAUAACUCUGUAAAGAUGACUGCAAAGAAGGACAAAUUAUCGUAUAGUUGACAACUUUACAUAAAUUAUAUUAAUUACUUUCAAAACCAAACACCCAUUAAUUAAUAAAUCUAGUAAGAAUUGCACGAUUAAACAUGAAGCACUAUAAUAUUCUUUUGGGGUAUAGCAAGAAAAGUUAAUACAAUCCAUAGAAAUGUUAAGCAAAAGCUAGACUUUGAAGAAUUAGCCAAUAAAUCAUUUGGAUUACCUAGGAACAACAAAGGUCCAUGGGGAGAUAGGCUAAUCUUCAGUAUUUCUAUCUUCUAAAAACUUAACCUCGACACCUCUAACAUCACAUUUAUCCUUCAUGGCAAGAACAAAAUUAUCAAUUUGAUAUAUUAUCUUAAUCAAUUCCUCCUCUUUCCGCCAAUACAAGUACCCCCCCAAUGCCUUUCUCUACUAACAAAACAAACUGCAACAACAAAACAACAAUAACCCACAAAUAAAAAAUAAAUAAAUACCCAAAAACUACGAAAAUUCGUACUUAUGCUACCAAGAAAAGAACCAAAUUUUUAUAAUUAACAAAAAAUUGCUACUUAAUUUUGCUAGAGAAAGAGAUAGUGAGAGACUAGAUGCUGUCAAGAUUAACUACUCUAUUUUUCUGAGGUCGAGAGAAGUUCAGCGUCGGAUUGAAAACCUGGAACACCCGACUCCUCACCACAGACUAUUACUAUAUGAAUUUCUUUUAUUCCUAUAGAUUUUCAAGUGGGUCAGAGAAAUAUAGAUGAAAUCUCUAAAAUCAUUGAAAUUAUCAUUCUCGCUAACUGUAUAUACCAUCGAAAAGGGAUUUGAGCUCAAGAUUGGAGCACGUACCUGAUGGAGUCAAGAUUUUUGAUUACGUCUUUUGUUUUGCUAUCAGAUGGAUCACGAUUUGUGAUUUGAGCGGUCAAAAUUGUGAGAUAUGAGCAGAGAGGAAAUUGAGUGGGUAAAUUUUCUAUAGAGAGACGAGUAAGGAGAAGAAGACCUACAUCAGUCUAUGCUUCUUUUUUCAUUUAAUAAGAGUGGUUUUUCUUAUAAAAAUAUUUAGUAGUGCUAGAGGUGACCGAGUCGCUACAAAAGACCUACAACGGUGACUUUAUAAAAGUCGCUACAAAACUCUCAAGCCGUAGAGCGACCUUUGAAAAGUUGCCACUAAAAUCUUACCUUCUAUAGCGAUAAGUAUAGUCCCUACAAAAUGUCUAGCUUUUGUUUCAAUAAAUUAAGUACGCUAAAUAUUGCCACAUGUUAUGAAAUAAUAUAAGAACAAGAACAAUAAUACAAGAACAAGAACAAUAAAGAGAAAANNNNNNNNNNNNNNNNNNNNNNNNNNNNNNNNNNNNNNNNNNNNNNNNNNNNNNNNNNNNNNNNNNNNNNNNNNNNNNNNNNNNNNNNNNNNNNNNNNNNNNNNNNNNNNNNNNNNNNNNNNNNNNNNNNNNNNNNNNNNNNNNNNNNNNNNNNNNNNNNNNNNNNNNNNNNNNNNNNNNNNNNNNNNNNNNNNNNNNNNNNNNNNNNNNNNNNNNNNNNNNNNNNNNNNNNNNNNNNNNNNNNNNNNNNNNNNNNNNNNNNNNAUGGAAAAAAAAUUAAUGGAAAGGUAAAAGAGUACACAUGUUUGAAUAUGCGCCUAUUGGUUGCCUCGUUAAAAACCAUGCAAGGAAAACCCAUUGGGACAAAACCUUGUAAGGGAAAAAGAGUGCCUCGCGCAUUAACUCCCCCUGAAAAGAGUAUCAAUUCAUAUCCUUAGAGUCUUCGCAUUCCGAUCUUGUGAACCAGCUUCUUGAAGGUUGACGUUGGUAAAGAUUUUGUGAACAAAUCAGCCAUAUUAUCGCUUGAACGAAUCUGUUGCACAUUGAUAUCACCAUUCUUUUNNNNNNNNNNNNNNNNNNNNNNNNNNNNNNNNNNNNNNNNNNNNNNNNNNNNNNNNNNNNNNNNNNNNNNNNNNNNNNNNNNNNNNNNNNNNNNNNNNNNNNNNNNNNNNNNNNNNNNNNNNNNNNNNNNNNNNNNNNNNNNNNNNNNNNNNNNNNNNNNNNNNNNNNNNNNNNNNNNNNNNNNNNNNNNNNNNNNNNNNNNCACAUUUGUCUUGAAUAUGAUGUAUUAUAAACCUUAACCACACACACUCCCGACUUGCUUCAUGAAUAGCGAUUAUCUCGACAUGAUUAGAUGAAGUAGCCACAAUUAAUUGCUUAGUCGAUCGCCAAGAUAUGGCGGUGCAUCCACAGGUAAACACAUAACCCGUUUGAGUUCGAGCCUUGUGUGAGUCGAAUAAAUAUCCAGCAUCAGCAUAACCAACAAGAUCAUGACUGCAAUUAUUGCUAUAAAAUAAGUCCAUAUCGGUAGUCCCUUUUAGGUACCGCAAUAUAUGCUCUCAUCACCAAAAAUGAAGGGGCUAGCAUUGCCCGAAAAUCUAGAUAUAGAACCAGAGGCACUACCAGCAAAGUCAUUGUCCCCUUUGAAUUCGGAAGACGAUAUAAUCAUCCUAAUGAACAGAGAAGUGCAAACACCAAGAAUCCUAGAUCAAAUGCUGUAACACAUCACACUACGAGAAUCAUUGUCGACCACACUCCAUGAAAAUAGAGAAAGAUGAUACUUCAUCACAGUUCAAAAAAUAUGCUUCGAAUAGCAGUAAACAUUCACAUCUACCUUUCUCGAUUAUCCACAAAUGUGCGACACUAAUUCUGCCAACAUUUUUUUUUUUAAAAUUUAGCUUUCAUUGAUAACAAAGUAAUGUACAUCAGUGAUCAUGAUAGUAGUUUUGGACUAAGACGGAGGAAGACUUGCCAUUACUAGUACACAACAGGGUAGAUCAUCCACUAGUUGUGCACCUGCGUAUGUCACUGGUCCCGGGUUGGAGCUGACGUAUGACUGAUGAACCCAAAAUGAAGAUUCUCCUUUGGUACUGCCGGGGGUGCAGCAACUAAGAAUUCUGGAACAAUUUCAAAGACAUUCUCAACUCGAACUAUCCUUUUUUUCCUCACUAAAACGCACAUAUAGAGCUACUACGAGCUCAUGGAAUUUAUUGGUUUCACUGACUUAUUUGAAAUUAGAGCAGAUGGCUACUCAGGUGGAGUCGUGCUAAUGUGGAAGCAUGAAGAGUUGGAGAUGGAUCCAGUAGCAGUUACUGACCAGGAGAUCCAUGCAAACAUCCAGGUAAGUAGAACUUCAAAACCUUGGCUAGUUUCCUUAGUUUAUGCCAGCACUUUAUUAAUAAAUAGAAAAAUUCUAUGAAAUAAUCCACAAAUAGUUGCUAAAAAUAAUACCAACCCCUGAUUAUUAUGUGGAGACUUUAAUGACAUCAGAACUGCCUCCAAAAGUAUAGAUGUAGGCCCAAGAAGUACUUCUUUUUAUAUUGUCUUGAUGCUACUGAUAUGACUGACUUGGGUUUUGUGUGUCCACGCUUUAGAUGGACAAAUAAAAGAAAAAAACAGCAGCAACAAAUCUUGGAAAGAUUGGACAGAUUUCUUGAAAACUCGGACUGGGUGGAAAUGUUCCCGGAUGCCACUAUCACAGACAUGCCACAUACACAUCCAGACCACUGUCCACUACUGUUGAGUCUGUACAAAAAAAAUAUUAGUAAACCAACAAACAUUUUCUGCUUUGAAAUAAUGUAGCUUAGUCACCAACUUUUCUCAAACAUAGCCGGAUGCCACUAUCACAGACAUGCCACUAUCACAGACAGACCACUGUCCACUACUGUUGAGUCUGUACAAAAAAAAUAUUAGUAAACCAACAAACAUUUUCUGCUUUGAAAUAAUGUAGCUUAGUCACCAACUUUUCUCAAACAUAGACAUUGAAAAUUUAGAAUAAUAAUACAAAAUACUCAACUAACAUUUCCUCCUUCAUAGAACACGUGGAAGAAUGGAACAGAUCCACAUUUAAAAAAACUCUCUAAAACAACAUUGAAAAUUUUGGAAUAAUAACACAAAAUACUCAACUAACAUUUCCUCCUUCAUAGAACACGUGGAAGAAUGGAACAGAUCCACAUUUGGAGAUAUUUAAAAAAACUCUCGUUGCACGCAUUCCAAAGCUUCAAAACAUGCACCUAUAUAAUAAAAUCCAAUUUCACCAUAACCUUGAAAAUAACAUUAUUUAUGAAUAUAACUUAAUUCUCCAAAAUGAACAAAAUUUCUAGAAUUAAAAUCAAGAGUUCAGUGGAUAAAUGACGGAGAUGCCAACACAAAAUUCUUUCAUAUAAGGAGCAUGAAAAACAGGAUACUAGGGGUAAAUGACAUAGUUGGUAAUUGGACUUUUGACCUCCCAAGGAAUAACAACAACAACAACUACUCAGUAUAUUCCCACCAGGUGGGGUCUGGAGAAGGUAAUAUGUAGACGAGCCUUACCCUUGGAUAGGGACCUCCCAAGGAAUACAUGAUAUUAUUUUUAAAUAAACUACCCAAGCAACAUUAACAUCAAUCGUUCCAUAAUAGGGGAAACAAUGUGACUACUACUAGUUUCUAAGAGUAGAGUAUCUUUGGAAGCUCGUUCAUUACAUUAUGUACAAUCGGAGUCGUGUAAAAGAAGGAAAAGGAUAGCCUCACAUACCUUGUAUAUACUGCCCAAUCUCAAGCUAUGCAAUUGUCACAACUCCUUAGUCCACAAUAAGAGAAACAAUCCUAUUGUUAUCAUGUAAGCGUCAUAACUAUUAUGUAUCGAUCACAACCUAUUUUACGAUGAAACGAACAUCACCUCCCUUAUAUAUAUAUAUAUAUGAUUUUACACCAUUCAAAACAAUCACCAAACAACCCAAACAACAUCAAUAAUAAACAUAUUGAGCCUCCCAAAAUAGUCCACACACAACCUAAUUACAUCAUACAUACGACGACCACCGUAGUCGUGUCAAACAAUCCGAAAAUGUUACGAAUAACUAUCAGCCCACAACCCUACAUAUAUAUGGUGUUUCUCCACACCCUUACACCUCAAAAACUCCACAAAAUAGUAGUAAAAUGCGCAGCCCAACAACAACACAAAACAGUCCGCUACAAGUGAAUAACUCGAACUCACCGCUUCUGAUCACCGUCCCGUGAGUUCUUACAUGUAUAGAACAAAUUGCCAUGAGAAUUCACAAUAGAGAAAAAUGUAAGAAAUAUGGCAGUAACUUACGUUACUUGUUGGAUAACUCCGCCCUUCCCUUGGUUCUUCAAACUCUAGGUUUUACUUUCAAAUAGAACUUAAAAGAGAGAGAAAAUCGAUUAGGGUUUGUGUGGGAUUUUUGGGAAGGAGUUGCAGGGGUUAACUUUGGUUUUGAGGGUCUGAAAUAUGGGUGAAAUAACUGAGUACAUAACCCCUUAAAAGUUCACUCUUGGCCGACUUAGGUCUUUUAAUUUUGGCCUAUCAUUUUGGCAAGUAGGCGAUGCACCUAUUUGUCAUCUACCAAUCUGCGCGGGCUUGCAAAGAUAUGAAUAUUUCUAUACUCCAAGAUCGUAUAGAAAAACGGUUUAAUGCAUUUGCAACUAGACUCGUAUAUCUUUAAUUUUGUGGGUAGAUCACCCCGUAAUUCUUUGUCACUUGGGAGAAAAGCUUAGAAACAUUUGACUUAAUGUUUUAAGUAAAUUAUGAACCUAAGUUGCGACAACUUUUGUCGACCUUUGUUUCAUAACUCGUUUGACUUCAAGAAUUAUGAUAUGGAUAUUAUAUAAUUCAAAUACCUUAAAAUACAUGACCUCUUGAGUGUAUUAAGCACCUCUAGAUUUACCUGAAAAUACGAGUUACAACAUCCUUGAUUUGUUUAACUUCUAAUACUAGUUAAUCACCCUUAUACACCCUUGUAUCACUUAAGACCAAUAAGAUUAACUUCUUAUCAUCUCAAAGAUAAUUUCUUUUUGGAUUUAUGUUAACUAAUAUAUGGCAUGAACUAACACAUGUGGAAAUGAGUUGUAAUAAGUAAGUAGAGCCUGGAUCGAAUUGAACUGAUGAAUCUCUAUGGCAACCAAUAUAAUACCUGUGAUGACAGAAUCGGAGACAACAGCCUCAGUACGGGCAGACAUGGCAUAGUAUCUGGCCUGGACUUCUCCUCUAGGGCUACCUCCACCUCCCCGACCUCCACCUCUAGCUGGAUGAGCAGGUGAGGUAGCAACUGGAGUUGUAAUCAUAGCUUGAGAACUCUGCGGGGCAUGUUGUAGCUGAGAAGUUUGUAGAGGUGCACCCCUCCCAAGUUUGGGGAAAUCCCUCACCAUGUGGUGUGUGUCACCACACUCAAAACAAGAUCUGGGAGGACGUUGUGGCUGUGACAAGCUAGGGCCGGAUCGAUUGGACUGACCUCUAAAAGCACCAUGCGCAGGAGAUGUGCUAGAAACUGGAGGUGCAUAAUAAGGCUCUUGAGGCCUAGGAGCUGGAGCCUUAUUAACGGGGUGACUCAUAUAACCCAUACCAUGACGACCUGCACCUGGGGUACGGGCACCCGAAUAAUGGCCCGACUGGCAAGAUCUCUUGGCCUCCCUCUCCUCUCCCUAGCGUGCAUACCCUCAAUCCUCCUAGCAAUGCUCACCACAUACUGAUAAGUAAUAUCCAUCUCCAACUCACGAGCCAUGCUAGAUCUUAUGCUGAGAAUAAGUCCCUCAAUAAAUCGGUGAACCCUUUCGCGAACAGUAGAAACCCAAGCUGGUGCAUGCCUAUCCAAAGUGGUGUAAUGGACAACAUACUCUGAAACAGUCAUAUCACCCUGGUGCAAAUGCUCAAACUCUGCGCGCCAUGCAUUCCUGAGGCUUUGAGAAACAUACUCUCUCAGGAAUAGAUUUGAAAGCUGAGCCCAAGUCAGUGAAGCAGCCUGAUUUGGACUGUCUAACUCCUAGGUGUGCCACCACUCAUAGGCGACCCCUCGAAGCUGGAAGGCAGUGAAAGAAACCUCGUUGGAUGCUGAAAUACCCAUGGUACGCAAAAUGCGGUAACACUCAUCAAGAAAUCUCAGAGCAUCCUCCGAUGCUAGACCACUAAAUACAUGAGGCUUGUACUUUUUGAACCUCUCAAGCCUCAGCUGCUCAUCCUCGGAAGCCACUACCCUGUCAUCGGGCUGAACAGGCACUGCAGGCGGUACAAGAAUAAUCUCGGGAACUUGAUCACUAUGUACUUGAUGCUCAGGAGUGCGGGCGGCGGGAGUCUGUGCUCCUCCCCCAGCCUGGGAUGUAGCUGCAGUAAGGGAAGCAACCCUGCCUAAGCCAAAGUGGUGUACAUGCUCAUGAACUGUGCCAGAGUCUCUUAAAGAGAUGGAGUGGUAGUAGCAGUGGUAGGCAUGUCAGGUGCCUGGACUCCAGCUGGAACUGCUGGUGGUACCUCGGCGGUAGCUCGUGCAGGUGCUUUGGCUGUACCACGUGCAUGGCCUUACCAUCUAUGAGAGAAUAGAAAGAUAGAAUUUUAGUUGUGAUAUCAAAAUCUCGCACAACAAGGAAAUCAAAUGAAGUGAAAUUUUCCUA